UACCAGCACCCCGAGUGGUCGGGACGUUUAUUGGGCCUAAAGCAUCCGUAGCCGGUUCUACAAGUCUUCCGUUAAAUCCAACUGCUUAACAGGUGGGCUGCGGAAGAUACUAUAGAGCUAGGAGGCGGGAGAGGCAAGCGGUACUCGAUGGGUAGGGGUAAAAUCCGUUGAUCCAUUGAAGACCACCAGUGGCGAAGGCGGCUUGCCAGAACGCGCUCGACGGUGAGGGAUGAAAGCUGGGGGAGCAAACCGGAUUAAGAUGAC
rnacentral:rRNA from 1 species